rnacentral:rRNA from 1 species
CUCGAGUGGCGAACGGGUGAGUAACACGUGGGUAAUCUGCCCUGCACUCUGGGAUAAGCCUGGGAAACUGGGUCUAAUACUGGAUAUGACCUUUCUCCUUAUGGGGUUUGGUGGAAAGUUUUUCGGUGUAGGAUGAGCCCGCGGCCUAUCAGCUUGUUGGUGGGGUGAUGGCCUACCAAGGCGACGACGGGUAGCCGGCCUGAGAGGGUGAUCGGCCACAUUGGGACUGAGAUACGGCCCAGACUCC